UAACGUGGUAGACUUUGUCUAGAGAAAUUUGUAUUUUGGUUGUUUACUUCUAUCAUCUAUAAGCUAACUUAAGAAGCAUAACCAAAUGGGAUUCAAAUGCUCAGGAAGCAUAGCCAGCUGCGAACUUCUACACUCAUCUACUAUAAAUUCCUGCAAUCUCAAUCCUCAGUAACAUAUUCCGCUCACAGAAUCAAUGCUACCGACGAUCAAAAUCACUACUGCAUCCCAAUUCCCAACCCUGAUAUCACUUCACUCAACAAACUAAUCAAUGAUCAUUCUAAACUCGGCAACUUGGCUUCUGCAGCGAAGUUGUUCGACGAAAUGCCUGAACGAGACGUGGCUUCGUGGAACUCGAUUAUGUCGUCUUAUGCUCGGAACGAUCUUUACAACGAAGUGUUGAGAAUAUUUUCGGAAAUGAGGCUUCAUGGAUUUAUGCCCAACCAUACUUCUAUCUCAACCGCCUUAUCGGCUUGCGCGAAGCUUGGAGCUUUGGAGCAAGGCGAGAGGAUUCACGGCCUAUCUAUCAAGACGCGAUCCUCGGCGAAUGUGUUCGUGGGCACAUCGCUGAUCGCCAUGUAUGCAAAUUGUGGUGCAUCAGAUUCCCUGUUCAGGGUUUUUGAUGGAAUUGAGUACCCAAAUGUCGCCUCAUGGAACGCUUUAAUCUCAGGAUAUGUGUUGAACCAUUGCAUUGAAGAUGCUCGUCGAGUGUUCGAGAAAAUGCCGAGUCGGAAUGUUGUCUCUUGGACGGCCAUGAUUAGUGGGUAUAUCAAGGUUAAGAAGGUGAGCUCUGCAUUUGAGCUGUUUAAUAUGAUGCCUGCUAAGAAUUCGGUCUCAUGGUGUGUAAUGAUAGGAGGGCUCAUCUGCAAUGGCCAAUACAUUGAGGUGAUUAAGCUGUUCGGCGAAAUGAUCAGCAAAGGGGAUCGAGCUACCGCACCUGUUGUCAACAAGGUAAUUAGUGCAUAUUCCGGUCUAAAAGAUAUUGGAGGAGGUAGAAAUAUUCAUGGGUAUACUGUAAAAUGUGGGCAUCAUCUUUGUGAGAGCAUCGAAGCCUCUUUGGUUUGGAUGUAUUGCGAAUGCUUGGACAUAGAAGAAGCACAAUUAGAAUUUGAGAAAAUGGAUCGCAUGUACGUCGGUUCGUGGAACACUCUGAUAUGUGCUUGUAUUAACAAACAGAAGGUUGAAGAGGCCCGGAAUUUGUUCAAUGGUAUGGCUCAAAGGGACAAAAUCUCAUGGAAUUCAAUGAUAAAUGGUUACCUAAAACAUAAUAGAAUCGAUGAUGCUCUCAAAUUGUUCUCAAUGAUGCUCGAACCAACGGUGGAGGCAACCACUGCGUUGAUGUCGAGCUUUAUAGAAAAUGGAAGGCUUCACGAGGCACGGAAUCUGUUCAGAAGAAUGCCUCGUAAAGACGUAACUGCAUGCACGACUAUGCUGUUUGGUUAUGUGAAAGAAGGCUUACUGGACAAAGCAUUGGACCUUUUCCGAAAAAUGCCUGAACGAAGUAUUGUUACUUAUAAUAUUAUGAUAUCUGGUUUCCUUCAGGAUGGCAAGGUUGCCGAAGCUUAUAAAUUAUUCAACGAGUCUCCUUUGCAUGAUGCUACAUCUUGGAAUGGUUUCAUAAUUGGACUCGUCCAAAAUGGGUUGAUUGAUCAGGCAUUUCUAAUGUAUAAGAAGAUGGUUUCUUCUAAUAUAAAUCCCAGCGAAUCAGUGAUAGCAAGCCUUGUCGGUUCUUCCUCAAGGCUAUCUAAAAUGGUCCAUGGACAUCAGUUUCAUACCGUGGCGAUGAAGCUUGGAUUGGAUUCACGCUUGGUAGUACAGAAUUCACUUAUAACCAUGUACAGCAAAUGUGGCGAUAUGCUCUUAGCUGGACAAGUGUUUAAGGAUAUGGGCGACCGAGAUGUGGUGUCAUGGAAUGCGAUCAUUUAUGGGCAUGCACUAAAUAGCCUUGCGGAGAAUGCUAUUCAAAUGUUUGAGAAUAUGAGAGGGACAUCAAUAAUACCUGAUGAGAUCACAUUUCUUAGUGUACUUUCUGCUUGUAGUUAUGCAAACCUUCUGGAGAAAGCUCAACUUUUCUUUGAUUCUAUGAGAAGUGAUUACAGAAUUGAACCAAAGUUAGCACAUUACGCUUGUAUGAUUGAUCUUCUAUGUCGAAAGGGAAUGAUUGAGGAGGCCAAAGAUUUAAUAGAUUUGAUGCCUGUUGAACCAGAUUCUUCUGUAUGGACUUCUCUCUUAAGCAGUUGCAGGGCGAAUCAUAAUGAUAAAUUGGCAAAACACGCGGCAAAUCGACUAUUCACAUGCAACCCUUUGGAUAGAAUGCCAUAUUUGCAUCUUAUCAACCUAUAUGGAUCAACUGGGAGGUGGAAUGAGAUUGAAAAUUUGAGAAAUCAAAUGAAGAACAUUAGAACUAGCAAAAAACCUGGUUGUAGCUGGAUUUAGUGUUUGUCUAGAGCGAGCUUUGGAGCAGCUUCUUUAUCCCGAAAAACAAUCAUUAGCAUUUGGCAAGUGAGAGUUCAAAAGUUUCUCUACGGCAUAAACAUGAAAUGAGCUUCUGAAUUUCAAUAGCAAAUGCUUCUAGUUGAAGCUUCCGAAUCUUUUGCAGCAGGAAGAUAUUUAGUAGGAUGCUAAUGGAAAAGAACUUCAACCGCUUUUUUCUAAUAGCUUUAUUCGACACAUCCUCUGCAGAAGCUCCAACCAAGCCAAGCUGAUAACAAGGAUAUAAGCCAAUGUUGCUCCAAAAAUAUGGUCAAUGGGUGUAAUAGCCCAGCAACAACUUUCGUGAACCAAGUUCACCACAUAGAUUGAUUGAGCGGUUUAUGGAUGACGUGGUGGACCAGGUCCAUAUUCUUAUUUCCCUUCACGAAGAGUCGAAAAGGCUGAUAGGUUGAAGUGGGUUGAUGAAGGAUUUGAAAUGCUCGUAUUUACGGAUAAUUCAGUUCUCUCUGAUGGCGUAGAU